rnacentral:rRNA from 1 species
UACGUAGGGUGCAAGCGUUGUCCGGAAUUAUUGGGCGUAAAGAGCUCGUAGGCGGUUUGUCGCGUCUGCUGUGAAAACUCGGGGCUUAACCCCGGGCCUGCAGUGGGUACGGGCAGACUAGAGUGCGGUAGGGAGACUGGAAUUCCUGGUGUAGCGGUGAAAUGCGCAGAUAUCAGGAGGAACACCGGUGGCGAAGGCGGGUCUCUGGGCCGUAACUGACGCUGAGGAGCGAAAGCGUGGGGAGCAAACAGG